UACGUAGGGUGCGAGCGUUAAUCGGAAUUACUGGGCGUAAAGCGUGCGCAGGCGGUUGUGCAAGACAGAUGUGAAAUCCCCGGGCUUAACCUGGGAACUGCAUUUGUGACUGCACAGCUGGAGUGCGGCAGAGGGGGAUGGAAUUCCGCGUGUAGCAGUGAAAUGCGUAGAUAUCAGGAGGAACACCGGUGGCGAAGGCGGCUUUCUGGACAGAUACCGACGCUGAGGCACGAAAGCUAGGGGAGCAAACAGG
rnacentral:rRNA from 1 species